GCAUCGAUAGCUUCAGUGGCAGAGCGGUGGGGCGUUUACCCAUGCGGCCCGGGUUCGAUCCCCGGUCGAUGCA